rnacentral:lncRNA from 1 species
GCUUCAAGGAUAGCUAUUUGGAUUAAGGUAAGUGUGCAGUGGAAGAUACAGGCUGCUGUGCAUAGUGCCUAUCUUACUGAAGUCAGUUAUUUUCAGUAGAGGCAUCUUGCAGAAUGUGCUGAGGUUCAAGAUCGUUACUGAGCCAAGAGCACUGAGGAUUUUGUCAAGAUAGAAUAGUUUUAUUUGAAACAUUAUUUUGGCAAAAAUGUGAAGUUUGAUGCUGGUGAAUGAUGCAUCUCAGGUUUUUACUGUAUGGAUUUUUUUGUUUUGUGUCAUAAAUAAUGGAUACUUUUAGUGCAAUUUACUCUCUUCUAAGAUAAUGAAAUACUUUUUGUGUUUUGUUGGUUUUUUUGUUUUUCCCCUUGUUUGUCCAGACACAAGCUGUAGAUACUAUUUUUGCUACCUGCUUUUGACAGCCUUAAGACUUAACUGUGCAUGCUAAAAGCAAUACUGCGGAUCAGUUGAUAAUGUUUUCCAAAUGGUCUGCCUUUACACAAUGCGGUACUUUACUUAAAACGUAGACAUCAAGUGACCAUAUGCCAAAUGAUUCGCAAAUGUGCUUGUAGCUAGGAAAGAAACUUUUUUCCGUUUUUCUUUUAAAAUAUGUUUUAAAGUCUGAAACACUGAAAAUGCCAUCAUGGGAUUCUCUGUAUAUUAUAUUUCAGUAUGGCUAAAAAGUGGUUCACAGGCUGUGGUCUCUGCCAGGUUGUCAUCUGUGAGGCUAUGGUACAUGCUUUGCAGCUGCUUUGUGGUGUUUUCAGUUAAGAGUUUAAUAAUAGGAAGGCAGAGUGGUCCAGGAGAAAUUUUAAGAUGUGAUUGUGGUUGGUUAGCACCCAGAAGUUUGGCAACAGCUGCUCUUUAUCACAUUUGUUCUGUUUCAACAAAUUCUGGGUUUGCAUGUCAAAGAGUGAUAGCAACCUAGGUAAGGAUGGUAAUUCUGUAGUAGGGGUUUUCUAACUUUCAGUGCUGCAGACUUUAUCUGUGAUGUCAGGGGCCAAUUUGUCAUUUCUCUGUGCCUUCAAUAAUGGAUAUAAGUGCAAUCCUGUAUACAGCUGCAGUGUGCAGUGGUGAGCUCUCUCCAAGUCUUCCUUUUCACAUGAAUGUUGCUGCUUCAGGCAGGAUGCAUGCCCACUUUGGAGAUACCAGGAUUAGAUAAACACAAAGAGAAAGAAAUGCAUGUUUAACAACCCAUACCGAUUAUGCCCUCUUGAAAAUUUAAGGAAAAUGCAAGUAUCUUUUUACUUAAAGAUGGAAGAAAUGUGGUAUGGAUUUUCUGAAAGACAAUCAGUAGGGAUUGCAGGUUGCCAAACUGGUUGCAUCUCUAAAUAUAGCCACACUUUCCUUUAAGUAUCUGUUAAUUCUUGUCAUUAGUGAUUGAAUAAGUGGAUGAAUAUAUUAACUGCAUCAUAUUUUUAUUCAGUUUUAGUAAAGGCCUAUUUCAAUCCAUUCAUUAUGCAAAAUAAAACCGAACCAACCCUUCUCUUCGGUGAGAGGCUGUCAGUUCUAUGGUAUUAACAUCUGUUUUCCUAAGGUACCAUACAUAGUAGCUUCCACCAGAAAAGAUGGUGCCUGAAAGUUCUCCACAGUUAAAGCCUGUGAUGUAUUUAUUUGUAACUUACUAAAUAACUAAUCCAGGGUUGUUUGUUGCCAUUAGUAUUUCAAACCACGAUUGUGUGGAUGGGUGGUCGUUUUAAUUCAGUCAGACUUGCAGGCGUGGUGCAGCGCUGGUACAAUAACCCUGAGACGCUGUGGAAUCUCCGCCAUGGAGUUUUUCAAGGCUUGGUUAAACAGAGUUACGGCUGACUGGAUCUAGUGUUGGCAAUCAUCUGCUUCAAGCAUGAAGUUGGACUAGAUGACCUCCAGGGGUCCCUUCUGACCAACAUUUCUGUGAUUCUGUGAGGUUAAAUGCUUUACUUCUGACAUACUGUAUACCCCUUUGUAUCUGAAAGUUGAAAUAUAGCUGAACAGUGAAAUGAGUGCGUGUUUCUAUAAUGUUUAUCAAAUCUGCUCACGGAAAAGACAUGAAAAUCAAAGUUUUGGCCUGCUAUAAACAUCACCGUGCUUUUUCAGAGAAUAUAAGACCUUUUGAUUUGGUAACAGCAAUUUUAUGCAUGAUAUUUAAACUGCUUUGUUAAUUCAUGUGGAAGAAAAAGGGAUGGUUUAAUAAGUUCCUACUCUUUCUGUGAAAGAAAAAAAAAAUCAGCCUUGUUUGCAGCGUAAUGCUGGUUUCUGUUGCAGAAUAUUUGGCUAACAUAAAUAUGCAGACACAUUAAAUCACAGUAUCUUCUAUUUAUACAAUACACAUCAACUAGAAUGUGCAGCAGUUAGGAGUGAGUAAUGUUUAUUUUCUUGAAGCUGAUGACCAUACUGCUCCAGCUGUGUCAUGUGAGGGAAAGAAUACCAUACUUGUUGUAUUAGCUAUGUUGAAGAUAAAAUCUUGCUGCUGUAAUUUAGGGAAGGAGGAGAAAGAGGGUAUUGGGUAUUUUUUAUUUGUAGUCAUGAUUAUUCAAAGCCUAUUUAUAUACAGUGUUUAUUAUAAUGUAUAUGCUACUGCAAUGAUGAAAAUAAUUUUAACACCUCAUUUUGAUCUGCUGAAUGCAACAAGGGUAGAAAUAUAUAUUCUAAUAAAGGCAAAUAUAAUUUU